UCUUCUCCUUCACUAAAUUUUUCCUUUUAAAAAAAACAAUAUUAAAAGGCCAAAAUACUGAAAAACUAUUUUCCAAUCGCGACUGAAUUAGGUUUUUGGUUCCGAACCCACCUGGGCGACCGAAGCGUGAAGGUUUGUGCCACUGCUGCUCGUGAUGGUUCGAGAUACUCAAGAGCGUAUAACCCUUCAGAUUGCACAACAAAAAAUUACAAUAAUCCAGUUUCUUAGUAGAAGAAUGCAAAACAAUCACUGGAGUGCCGAAAUGCUUUGCCAGAAAAGAGAAUGCUGACAUGCUGUCACAAGUCACAACUCAAGUGGAAUUUCCGGAAUCCAUAACUUUCGUAACCAUGUUCCUUAACAUAGGAAGAAGUUGCCUUGCCUUCACCUUUGUCUUAGCAUGAAAAUGGGCAUGAAUUCGAUCCCAAAGUUGAUACGAAUGCUUACAGCAGUCGUCUUUGUGAGAACCAAAGUUGUAAACGUUGAUUGCAGCCAUGGUGGAAGAAAAGCAUCUUGCUUCUCCCAAGACAAAUAUGCGUGUUGGUAGUUUCAUUUUCUCUGUCACCCUUUCAAAGGGGAAUUUACCUGUAAUCAAUGAACUAACUAGAAAAUUUCUGUCAGCUUCAAAGAGAAAUUUACCUGGAAUUGAUGGACUAACUAGAAA